ensembl:snRNA U6 U6 spliceosomal RNA
GUGCUCGCUUCGGCAGCACAUAUACUAACAUUGGAACGAUACAGAGAAGAUUAGCGUGGCCCCCGCGCGAGGACGACACGCAAAUUCGCGAAGCGUUCCAUGUUUUU